rnacentral:rRNA from 1 species
UACGUAGGGGGCAAGGCGUUGUCCGGAUUUAUUGGGCGUAAAGAGCGUGUAGGCGGCCAUACAGGUCAGCUGUGAAAACUCGAGGCUCAACCUCGAGACGUCGGUUGAAACCGUUUGGCUAGAGUCCGGAAGAGGAGAGUGGAAUUCCCGGUGUAGCGGUGAAAUGCGUAGAUAUCAGGAGGAACACCUGUGGCGAAAGCGGCUCACUGGACCAUAACUGACGCUGAUGCACGAAAGCUAGGGGAGCAAACAGG